rnacentral:rRNA from 1 species
UACGAAGGUCCCGAGCGUUGUUCGGAAUCACUGGGCGUAAAGGGAGCGUAGGCGGCGUGGCAAGUCAGACGUGAAAUACCGGGGCUCAACCCCGGAACUGCGUCCGAUACUGCCGCGCUCAGAGGGUUGGAGAGGUGGCCGGAAUUCUUGGUGUAGCAGUGAAAUGCGUGGAUAUCAAGAGGAACACCCGUGGCGAAAGCGGGCCACUGGACAACACCUGACGCUGAGGCUCGAAGGCCAGGGUAGCGAAAGGG